rnacentral:rRNA from 1 species
AGAGUUUGAUCCUGGCUCAGGACGAACGCUGGCGGCGUGCUUAACACAUGCAAGUCGAACGAAGCGAUUUAACGGAAGCCUUCGGGCGGAAGAUAAAUUGACUUAGUGGCGGACGGGUGAGUAACGCGUGAGCAACCUGCCCAUAAGAGGGGGAUAACAGUUGGAAACGACUGCUAAUACCGCAUAAGACCACAUUACCGCAUGGUAAAGAGGUCAAAGAAAUUCGCUUAUGGAUGGGCUCGCGUCCCAUUAGGUAGUUGGUAGGGUAACGGCCUACCAAGCCAAUGAUGGGUAGCCGACCUGAGAGGGUGAUCGGCCACACUGGAACUGAGACACGGUCCAGACUCCUACGGGAGGCAGCAGUGGGGAAUAUUGGGCAAUGGAGGGAACUCUGACCCAGCAACGCCGCGUGAGGGAAGAAGGCCUUCGGGUUGUAAACCUCUGUCCUAUGGGAAGAAAAAAAUGACGGUACCAUAGGAGGAAGCUCCGGCUAACUACGUGCCAGCAGCCGCGGUAAUACGUAGGGAGCAAGCGUUGUCCGGAAUUACUGGGCGUAAAGGGUGCGUAGGUGGUUUGCCAAGUUGGCAGCGUAAUUCCGGGGCUUAACCCCGGAACUACUGCCAAAACUGGCAGGCUUGAGUGCGGCAGGGGUAAGUGGAAUUCCUAGUGUAGCGGUGAAAUGCGUAGAUAUUAGGAGGAACACCAGUGGCGAAGGCGACUUUCUGGACUGUAACUGACGCUGAGGCACGAAAGUAUGGGUAGCAAACAGGAUUAGAUACCCUGGUAGUCCACGCCGUAAACGAUGAAUACUAGGUGUAGGGGGUAUCGACUCCCUCUGUGCCGUCGCAAACGCAUUAAGUAUUCCGCCUGGGGACUACGACCGCAAGGUUGAAACUCAAAGAAAUUGACGGGGACCCGCACAAGCAGCGGAGCAUGUGGUUUAAUUCGACGCAACGCGAAGAACCUUACCAGAACUUGACAUCUAGUGAAGAACCUUGUAAUGAGGUUCGUCCCUUCGGGGACACGAAGACAGGUGUUGCAUGGUUGUCGUCAGCUCGUGUCGUGAGAUGUUAGGUUAA